rnacentral:rRNA from 1 species
GAGUUUGAUCAUGGCUCAGAUUGAACGCUGGCGGCAGGCCUAACACAUGCAAGUCGAGCGGUAGCACAGAGAGCUUGCUCUCGGGUGACGAGCGGCGGACGGGUGAGUAAUGUCUGGGAAACUGCCUGAUGGAGGGGGAUAACUACUGGAAACGGUAGCUAAUACCGCAUAACGUCGCAAGACCAAAGUGGGGGACCUUCGGGCCUCAUGCCAUCAGAUGUGCCCAGAUGGGAUUAGCUAGUAGGUGGGGUAAUGGCUCACCUAGGCGACGAUCCCUAGCUGGUCUGAGAGGAUGACCAGCCACACUGGAACUGAGACACGGUCCAGACUCCUACGGGAGGCAGCAGUGGGGAAUAUUGCACAAUGGGCGCAAGCCUGAUGCAGCUAUGCCGCGUGUGUGAAGAAGGCCUUCGGGUUGUAAAGCACUUUCAGCGGGGAGGAAGGCGUUAAGGUUAAUAACCUUGGCGAUUGACGUUACCCGCAGAAGAAGCACCGGCUAACUCCGUGCCAGCAGCCGCGGUAAUACGGAGGGUGCAAGCGUUAAUCGGAAUUACUGGGCGUAAAGCGCACGCAGGCGGUCUGUCAAGUCGGAUGUGAAAUCCCCGGGCUCAACCUGGGAACUGCAUUCGAAACUGGCAGGCUAGAGUCUUGUAGAGGGGGGUAGAAUUCCAGGUGUAGCGGUGAAAUGCGUAGAGAUCUGGAGGAAUACCGGUGGCGAAGGCGGCCCCCUGGACAAAGACUGACGCUCAGGUGCGAAAGCGUGGGGAGCAAACAGGAUUAGAUACCCUGGUAGUCCACGCCGUAAACGAUGUCGAUUUGGAGGUUGUGCCCUUGAGGCGUGGCUUCCGGAGCUAACGCGUUAAAUCGACCGCCUGGGGAGUACGGCCGCAAGGUUAAAACUCAAAUGAAUUGACGGGGGCCCGCACAAGCGGUGGAGCAUGUGGUUUAAUUCGAUGCAACGCGAAGAACCUUACCUGGUCUUGACAUCCACAGAACUUUCCAGAGAUGGAUUGGUGCCUUCGGGAACUGUGAGACAGGUGCUGCAUGGCUGUCGUCAGCUCGUGUUGUGAAAUGUUGGGUUAAGUCCCGCAACGAGCGCAACCCUUAUCCUUUGUUGCCAGCGGUCCGGCCGGGAACUCAAAGGAGACUGCCAGUGAUAAACUGGAGGAAGGUGGGGAUGACGUCAAGUCAUCAUGGCCCUUACGACCAGGGCUACACGCGUGCUACAAUGGCAUAUACAAAGAGAAGCGACCUCGCGAGAGCAAGCGGACCUCAUAAAGUAUGUCGUAGUCCGGAUUGGAGUCUGCAACUCGACUCCAUGAAGCCGGAAUCGCUAGUAAUCGUAGAUCAGAAUGCUACGGUGAAUACGUUCCCGGGCCUUGUACACACCGCCCGUCACACCAUGGGAGUGGGUUGCAAAAGAAGUAGGUAGCUUAACCUUCGGGAGGGCGCUUACCACUUUGUGAUUCAUGACUGGGGUGAAGUCGUAACAAGGUAACCGUA